GACGAACGCUGGCGGCGUGCCUAAUACAUGCAAGUCGAACGCUUCUUUUUCCACCGGAGCUUGCUCCACCGGAAAAAGAGGAGUGGCGAACGGGUGAGUAACACGUGGGUAACCUGCCCAUCAGAAGGGGAUAACACUUGGAAACAGGUGCUAAUACCGUAUAACAAUCGAAACCGCACGGUUUUGAUUUGAAAGGCGCUUUCGGGUGUCGCUGAUGGAUGGACCCGCGGUGCAUUAGCUAGUUGGUGAGGUAACGGCUCACCAAGGCGACGAUGCAUAGCCGACCUGAGAGGGUGAUCGGGCCACAUUGGGACUGAGACACGGGCCCAAACUCCUACGGGAGGCAGGCAGUAGGGAAUCUUCCACAAUGGACGAAAGUCUAGAUGGGAGCAACGCCGCGUGAGUGAAGGAAGGGUUUCGGCUCGGUAAAGCU
rnacentral:rRNA from 1 species